UACGUAGGGUGCGAGCGUUGUCCGGAAUUACUGGGCGUAAAGAGCUCGUAGGUGGUUUGUCGCGUUGUUCGUGAAAACUCGGGGCUUAACCCCGAGCCUGCAGUGGAUACGGGCAGACUAGAGGUAGGUAGGGGAGAAUGGAAUUCCCGGUGUAGCGGUGAAAUGCGCAGAUAUCGGGAGGAACACCGGUGGCGAAGGCGGCAUCCUGGACCGAGAUUGACGCUGAUGAGCGAAAGCUAGGGGAGCAAACGGG
rnacentral:rRNA from 1 species